rnacentral:lncRNA from 1 species
CUAUUUUUUAGUCCGAUUUUCGAUAAGAUAUGGAGUCAGAGAGAUACGUGGAGAUCAACAACUCAUCCGACGUUGCUUCCUUGUCUCCACCCAAAAUAAUAAAUCUAAAGACUCUUUGCUUGUUGAUAAAUUAGACCAAAGAGAAAAUCAGAAAAUGGGUGAACCAGCUGAAUAACUGGUUUUCAUCCCGUUAAAAGAAGAAGAUCCCAAAAAAAUGGUUCGAAUUGGAUCACAAUUAUCCGAC